AUGGCAGGCUCCAACUCGAAUGCACAUGGAGGAAAUAUUAUGGAAGAAGAGUUCCCCAAGACUCGAGCCGCAAUUGGUGAUGUGAUUGAAGAAAGUAUAGCUGCAGCUUUGCAACGGAUGUUUGGAGGACGUCUUCCUCUUGCGGGAAAUGGGGAUCUACACCAACACAGCCCCGCUGCCUCACUAGUCGCCAACAAUCAUCGUUCUCGUGGCCACGAAGAUCGCCACAAUGGUCAUGGGAGAGCUGCAGGUGGCCAUGUUGAUGGUACCGCUAUUGGUGGUGUUGAACGGAGGCGAGGUAACCUUGUUGCACCCCAUGAUUGUGGGAUGCAUGGAGGAGAAACUUGCGGGCAAGGCCAUGGACUCCGCGGGUUCGCCGCAGAUCACAGGCAACGAGCUGCACAUGGUGGUGAUGACAUGUACCAUGAAGAGCACCCAAAUCAUAACGAUGAGUACGUUGAGAUGGUGGAUGAUGAGUCAUAUUCCACGCCUCGUUUUGGUGCUAUUUUUGGUCACCAUGGUAGUCCCUAUGAUGGUCGUUUGGGUGAUGACCAUCACAACAAAGCAAGGGUGAAGUUACGCAAUCCAUCAUUCACUAGAGAAGAGGACCCGAAUGCUUAUUUUGAGUGGGAGGAUUGA
rnacentral:rRNA from 1 species